UAUAUUGGAGUGUGUUCAAAUCAUUUUUUUCCCUGUUUGUAAUGCCUACUGGCAACUAGAGUAACUUCUAUUCUAUAAUUAGCCGAUAAAUCAUGAAAAAGUUCAAAAAGGAUCACCGAAAAUAUGACUAAAUUGUUUCUAUCGUAUAUGAAUAUGUUAAAAGAGAAGAAAUUAAUACUAAAGCAACUUUCUCUUGAAGAAUUCGUGGUUCACUGAAUUAACAAAUGCAAAUGUAUGCACGCUAUACAAGGUCGACUGUAAAAAAUUAUCUUCUGUCAUCAAUAAAUAAGUAUUUACAAAAGCACCAAACCCCAAGGAGAAUUAAAAAGGGAAGUCCAUGGAAACUGACAAAAUUAUAACCAUUAGACUUAAGGUGGUACCUAACACUACAGGGAG
rnacentral:lncRNA from 1 species